CUCAUUACACACAUCCUACCAGCCAUAACCCCUAUAACCGAACUGUUGCAACUUAAUCUGGUCCUCAGGAAAGCCCAGCUGCUGACCCCAGAAACAAACUGCAGCUCUCCUCUUGGCCCAGAAAAUAAAGGAAUGGCCCAUGAUCCAAGCCACUUAACUUAAGGAAGCAAAUGAAAAAUGUCAAGCACUGCUCCCACCAUGACAAAC